rnacentral:rRNA from 1 species
UACGUAGGGUGCAAGCGUUGUCCGGAUUUAUUGGGCGUAAAGCGCACGCAGGCGGUCUGCCAAGUUCGGAGUGACAGUUUCCGGCUUAACCGGAAAAGGUCUUCGAAAACUGGUGGACUUGAGGACUUGAGGGGGAGACGGAAUUCCGGGUGGAGCGGUGAAAUUCGUAGAUAUUCGCAGGAACACCAGUGGCGAAGGCGACUUGCUGGGCUUGUGGUGACGCUGAGACGCGAAAGCGUGGGGAGCAAACAGG